AUUGAACGCUGGCGGCAGGCCUAACACAUGCAAGUCGAACGAGUGGCGGACGGGUGAGUAAUGUCUGGGAAACUGCCCGCUGGAGGGGGAUAACUACUGGAAACGGUAGCUAAUACCGCAUACCAUCGGAUGUGCCCCGAUGGGAUUAGCUAGUAGGUGGGGUAACGGCUCACCUAGGCGACGAUCCCUAGCUGGUCUGAGAGGAUGACCAGCCACACUGGAACUGAGACACGGUCCAGACUCCUACGGGAGGAAGCAGGGGGGAAUAGGGCACAAUGGGCGCAAGCCGGAUGCAGCCAUGCCGCGUGUAUGAAGAAGGCCUUCGGGUUGUAAAGUACUUUCAGCGAGGAGGCGUUACUCGCAGAAGAAGCACCGGCUAACUCCGGGCCAGCAGCCGCGGUAAUAC
rnacentral:rRNA from 1 species